CCGGCGGGCGGCUAGGACGUUGGUGUCCGGUGUUCCUCGAACACCGCCGACCGCGCGGUCCCUUCGCGCUCGGGCGGUUCCGGGUCCAUCCCGCCGCG
rnacentral:tRNA from 1 species